rnacentral:rRNA from 1 species
CAGUAGCCACGGUAAUACGGAGGGUGCAAGCGUUGAUCGGAAUUACUGGGCGUAAAGCGUGCGUAGGCGGUUCGUUAAGUCUGUUGUGAAAGCCCCGGGCUCAACCUGGGAAUGGCAAUGGAUACUGGCGAGCUAGAGUGUGUCAGAGGAUGGUGGAAUUCCCGGUGUAGCGGUGAAAUGCGUAGAGAUCGGGAGGAACAUCAGUGGCGAAGGCGGCCAUCUGGGACAACACUGACGCUGAGGCACGAAAGCGUGGGGAGCAAACAGGAUUAGAUACCCCAGUAGUCCCUGUCUCUUAUAC